rnacentral:rRNA from 1 species
GACGAACGCUGGCGGCGUGCUUAACACAUGCAAGUCGAACGGACAGGCCCUGCUUUUGUGGGGUGCUCGAGUGGCGAACGGGUGAGUAACACGUGAGUAACCUGCCCUUGACUUUGGGAUAACUUCAGGAAACUGGGGCUAAUACCGGAUAGGAGCUCCUGCUGCAUGGUGGGGGUUGGAAAGUUUCGGCGGUUGGGGAUGGACUCGCGGCUUAUCAGCUUGUUGGUGGGGUAGUGGCUUACCAAGGCUUGGACGGGUAGCCGGCCUGGGAGGGUGACCGGCCACAUUGGGACUGGGAUACGGCCCAGACGCCUACGGGAGGCAGCAGCGGGGAAUAUUGCACAAUGGGCGGAAGCCUGAUGCAGCAACGCCGCGUGCGGGAUGACGGCCUUCGGGUUGUAAACCGCUUUCGCCUGUGACGAAGCGUGAGUGACGGUAAUGGGGAAAGAAGCACCGGCUAACUACGU